rnacentral:rRNA from 1 species
UACGGGGGGUGCAAGCGUUAAUCGGAAUUACUGGGCGUAAAGGGUGCGUAGGUGGUUUGAUAAGUUAGCUGUGAAAUACCUGGGCUCAACCUGGGAAGGUCAGCUAAGACUGUUAGACUUAGAGUAUGGGAGAGGGUAGUGGAAUUUCCGGUGUAGCGGUGAAAUGCGUAGAGAUCGGAAGGAACACCAGUGGCGAAGGCGGCUACCUGGCCUAAUACUGACACUGAGGCACGAAAGCUAGGGGAGCAAACGGG